UACGGAAGGCAGCAGUGGGGAAUAUUGCACAAUGGGCGCAAGCCUGAUGCAGCCAUGCCGCGUGUAUGAAGAAGGCCUUCGGGUUGUAAAGUACUUUCAGUCGUGAGGAAGGUGUUAAGGUUAAUAACCUUAGCAAUUGACGUUAGCGACAGAAGAAGCACCGGCUAACUCCGUGCCAGCAGCCGCGGUAAUACGGAGGGUGCGAGCGUUAAUCGGAAUUACUGGGCGUAAAGGGCACGCAGGCGGUUAUAAGUUGGAUGUGAAAUCCCCGGGCUUAACCUGGGAAUGGCAUUCAAGACUGGUUAGCUAGAGUCUUGUAGGGGGUAGAAUUCCGAUGUGUAGCGGUGAAAUGCGUAGAGAUGUGGAGGAAUACCGGUGGCGAAGGCGGCCCCUGGACAAAGGCUGACGCUCAUGUGCGAAAGCGUGGGGAGCAAACAGGGAUUAGAUACC
rnacentral:rRNA from 1 species